GACGUAGGGGGCGAGCGUUGUCCGGAUUUAUUGGGCGUAAAGCGCGCGUAGGCGGGCUUUCAAGUCGGUUGUGAAAUCCCUCAGCUCAACUGAGGAACUGCAUCCGAUACUGUUUGUCUUGAGGACGAGAGGGGAGAGUGGAACUUCUGGUGGAGCGGUGAAAUGCGUAGAUAUCAGAAGGAACGCCGGUGGCGAAAGCGACUCUCUGGCUCGUAUCUGACGCUGAGGCGCGAAAGCUUGGGUAGCAAACGGG
rnacentral:rRNA from 1 species